rnacentral:rRNA from 1 species
GAUGAACGCUGGCGGCGUGCCUAACACAUGCAAGUCGAGCGAACAGAUGAGGAGCUUGCUCCUCUGACGUUAGCGGCGGACGGGUGAGUAACACGUGGAUAACCUACCUAUAAGACUGGGAUAACUUCGGGAAACCGGAGCUAAUACCGGAUAAUAUAUUGAACCGCAUGGUUCAAUAGUGAAAGACGGUUUUGCUGUCACUUAUAGAUGGAUCCGCGCCGCAUUAGCUAGUUGGUAAGGUAACGGCUUACCAAGGCAACGAUGCGUAGCCGACCUGAGAGGGUGAUCGGCCACACUGGAACUGAGACACGGUCCAGACUCCUACGGGAGGCAGCAGUAGGGAAUCUUCCGCAAAGGGCGAAAGCCUGACGGAGCAACGCCGCGUGAGUGAUGAAGGUCUUCGGAUCGUAAAACUCUGUUAUUAGGGAAGAACAAAUGUGUAAGUAACUAUGCACGUCUUGACGGUACCUAAUCAGAAAGCCACGGCUAACUACGUG